ACGAGUUAUGAACUCCUUAAAACCCAAUGUAAACCUACUAUUUUGUUGCCUCGGUAGGCUGUGCUCUUACCCUGUAACUGUUACCCUGUAGCUACCCUGUAGGGCUUACCCUAUAGCUACCCUGUAACAGCUACCUGGAAAGCACGUUAAUCGGCCUGCCGGUGGUCUUAAACACUCUCGUUAUUUAUUAUGGUAUUCUGAUUUAGCUUGAUAAUAAGUUA
rnacentral:misc_RNA from 1 species